UAAGAUAGUUCUAAUACUGUCAAUUUCAGGGACAAAAUUUAAACACAAACCUAAAAGAGUCCCUUUUGUGUCAUUCUCCCCCUAAACAGUACCUAAAUUUAAUCAAUGAUAUUGACCGUCGAAAAUGUUCCCAAGUGUUAUUUUCCAUCUUUAGAAGAGUCACAACCUGAGUAGAAACUAUGACAAGAAUUAUGCGGUAUCAUAAGAGAUGAAGGAUUUC
rnacentral:lncRNA from 1 species